rnacentral:rRNA from 1 species
GACGAACGCUGGCGGCGUGCCUAAUACAUGCAAGUCGAACGCUUCUUUCCUCCCGAGUGCUUGCACUCAAUUGGAAAGAGGAGUGGCGGACGGGUGAGUAACACGUGGGUAACCUACCCAUCAGAGGGGGAUAACACUUGGAAACAGGUGCUAAUACCGCAUAACAGUUUAUGCCGCAUGGCAUAAGAGUGAAAGGCGCUUUCGGGUGUCGCAGAUGGAUGGACCCGCGGUGCAUUAGCUAGUUGGUGAGGUAACGGCUCACCAAGGCCACGAUGCAUAGCCGACCUGAGAGGGUGAUCGGCCACACUGGGACUGAGACACGGCCCAGACUCCUACGGGAGGCAGCAGUAGGGAAUCUUCGGCAAUGGACGAAAGUCUGACCGAGCAACGCCGCGUGAGUGAAGAAGGUUUUCGGAUCGUAAAACUCUGUUGUUAGAGAAGAACAAGGACGUUAGUAACUGAACGUCCCCUGACGGUAUCUAACCAGAAAGCCACGGCUAACUACGUG